UAUACAGUGGCUCUCGGCUCCCCCCCGGCCUCCGCCGGCCCCGGGCGUCCGUGCCCUAUGCCAGGGGGUCGGCCAGCUCGUCGUCCGCUCCCCGCGACAGCAGCUCCCGCUUCUCGUCGGUGCUAGCCAGAGAGUUGCGGCUGUUGUGGGCGCCCAUGUACAGCGUGGCGUAGACGGGGUUGGUGAAGUUGGUGGGCUGCGGAGAGGAGGGUGAGGCGGUCGGACGGGGGCACGGACAUGGCGCUGUGCCCCCCUGCGCGGGGCGCCCUGCCGCGGCCCUGCCGCCCACCUUGUCCGGGUCCAGGGCAAAGUCGGCGUCCAGCAGCUCCCCCACGUCGUCGUCGGGCUCCCCCUCGUACAUCUUGUAGGUGGGGUUCCCGAUCUCCACGUUCAUGGCACCAUUGGUCAUCCGCUGGUGCUGGAAGCCCUUGGCGCUGGGGGGGGGGCAGGGAGAGGAGCAGAGGGGGCAGGUUCUGGAGCUCAGCRCGAGCCACGCACGGGCGGCAGCGCUGGAGCCUUCCUGACGCCGACCCAGCGCAGGGGGACGCUGGUGCAAAUCCGUCAGGGCUGAUCCAGUCCCGACCCCUCUGCCCUCACCUCUAGUUUAUCAUGUUCAUUUAUUUUAAAGAGACUGUACAUGGAAUUAAAAGAUUUUGGCAGAAACCUACCUCUGAGCGCCCCAUAACGACAGUGUGAAAAUGGAGA
rnacentral:lncRNA from 1 species